UAUAUAUAUAAUUUUUUUUCUCGUUUUGCAUGCAUGUAAAUUGAACUUGACACUUCCUCCAACCAUCCAUGUGCCGAUAGACCAUCUAAUCAUCGUAUUUAUUGAUUAUCUCUUUCAAAAGGGAGUUUGACGAUAGACCACCAACAAGUCUUUUUAUUUAUUUGUUUAUUUAUUUAUUUUUAUUUUUUUGGAGCAAAGGAACAUACAUUACCAACAACAAACAGUACAAACACAACACAGAGGCCCAAAAUUUACAACACGGAGGCCUAGGAACGAAAAACACAAACAACCAACAGAGGCCUAGCCUAAAGUUGAGCCCAAAACAAAGAACACACAAAAACAACCAGAGUUGCUGCAACCUUCGCCAAAACCACCGCUGCAACCCCCAAAAUAGCAGCCAUGCAUGUCGAUCCAAUCAAAUUCAGUGCCCAAACAAAGCCACGCCUCACAAACAUCAGCAGCUAAUUCCAAGCUUCACGGCCAGCACAACUACAAACCCCAGAGAACCUGCAGCCAAGUGAAAGAAGCUCAUGGCAGUCCACGAGCAACACUACCAACAAGGGCAGACAGCAAAGAGAAGGUGGGGGUGCAAGGAACACCUAACCCAAUGCUAGCACCAAAUCAAAGCACACCAACUUGAAACACACCAACAAAUCGCGGUAAAGGGUGACGGAAGUUGGGAAAUUGGAUGAAAAUGGAUGAGAGACAGCAAAGGGGAGAGAAUAUGGCAAAUCCGCCAAAAAACCCAAGGAAGAAAACAACGGAUAGAAGAGGAGAAAGAGAGGGAGAAAGAAACAAAAGAAAACCCACCGAUCCCAGCCGAAGCUAAGAUCAGCGGCACAGGAAAUGGACUCGAUCAGGAACCACUCACACAGAUCGGUGAGAUUAACCCGCACACAGAGGGAAGGUCUCUCACGGAGAGAUAAAGGGUUCUAACUUCUAUCUUAUCCCCAUUUAUUUAUUUAUUUUUAUUUGGCACUGUGAGCUCUACCAAAAACUGAUCAAAUGCUUGAAUUGUUUAAGCAAUAAGACCCGCAAGUCAAUAAAAAUGUGAUGAGUUGGGUGUGAUGCAGAUUGUGUGAUAUCUAGUAGGAACCUUUCGAUACUUGCUUUUUACGUAACUAUUCUCAAAUAAUGGAGCCGAAAAUACAACUGAAGAGCAAAGCAAGAAUUGAGCAGUUGAUUAAUUUCCUUUUCGCGGGUUUGACUGACCUCUCUAAAACUCGAUGAAUGUGGAAAAACAUGUGGAAUAAAUGGGUAGAUGUUAUGCUUCUUUUCAAACAGAUAAAACGCGUUUCACUAAUCAUUCCGUCAAGUGCGUGAAGAUGAGCAAAUACACAUAGCCCAAGGAUCAAGUGAUUAAGCGCAUUCAACACUACAUCUAAGCUUAGGCAUUUGAAUUUCCUUUUCCAAGCAUAAUUUCUGUUUUAGGGGGAAAACUUGUGCUUUCUCUCAGUCACUACUCACUAGCACCUUGUUUCACGUGGGAACAUGGGUAAGAUGUCAUGCUAUCGUUUCAACGUUUCAAUCAGAUCAAAGUUGUUUCACUAUUUACUUCAUCAAGUACAUUAACAAGAUCAAUGACGUAUAAUUGAAAUGAUUAAGAAUAUUUUUUGUUGCGUUUGAGCUCCUGUAUUUGAUUUUCCGCUCCCCAAAUUUUCCUCAAUCUAAAUUGCUAUUCAAUUUGGUUGGUGGAGUUGGAUAUGACUUGACACAACUUCUAAUAAAUUGAAGAUUUUUGUUUCUUGCUAGAUGACCUAAACAUGCAUAUCAUUCAUAAUUCAUCAAUCUGAUGUUGUAGGUAGACAAAAAUAGGUACACUUGAUGUUACAUUCAACUGUUAAGAUGAUUAUGCAUUUGAAUUUCGUGUUUACAGCCCAAAUUUAAAUUCGUACAAGUUACAACAGUACCUUCAAAAUAAAACUUUGAAGGCAAGAAACUGUAGGUAUAUAUAUGAUGUUGUAAGUAGGCAAUGGUCAAUCAGAAAUUGCCAUCCCACUUAUCUUCUAUAUUUAAUUGCUACAUUCCCUUUGCUUGAGGAGCAAACAUAUGUAAACACAAUUGGUUUUCUUUUAUGUUUACUCUCUAAUAAAGUAUCGAUUACAUAUGAGAGUUAAGUUAGUUGAUAAAUGCGGUGUGUUGGUCAUUGGCAUCUAAAUUCGGAUCUCUCUUCUCAUAUAUAAUUUAGAAUAUAAUAAUGUAUUGUCAAAGAUAUGGUAAAUGCAGUUUAUCGUCUUUGCAUUCAAAUUUGAAUUCCAUGCCGAAUAAUUUAGCCAUAUCACCUAACAAAAAUAAAGUACCAAUCAC
rnacentral:lncRNA from 1 species